GCCCUGUCAGGGUCGACCCUGGAGAGUUUCCAGUACUCUGCCAGUUUCAGCUAGGGGAGGGAGAGUCAAGCAGAGACUUAGACUUAUCCAUUCCAUUCCUAGCCUGGGCAGUGGCUAGCGAGUGGAAGACAAUCUGCUACAAGU